CCUACGGGUGGCAGCAGUGAGGAAUAUUGGUCAAUGGACGAGAGUCUGAACCAGCCAAGUAGCGUGAAGGAUGACUGCCCUAUGGGUUGUAAACUUCUUUUAUAUUGGAAUAAAAUGUUCCACGUGUGGGAUUUUGUAUGUACCAUAUGAAUAAGGAUCGGCUAACUCCGUGCCAGCAGCCGCGGUAAUACGGAGGAUCCGAGCGUUAUCCGGAUUUAUUGGGUUUAAAGGGAGCGUAGGUGGAUUGUUAAGUCAGUUGUGAAAGUUUGCGGCUCAACCGUAAAAUUGCAGUUGAAACUGGCAGUCUUGAGUACAGUAGAGGUGUGCGGAAUUCGUGGUGUAGCGGUGAAAUGCUUAGAUAUCACGAAGAACUCCGAUUGCGAAGGCAGUUCACUGGACUGCAACUGACACUGAGGCUCGAAAGUGUGGGUAUCAAACAGGAUUAGAUACCCUUGUAGUC
rnacentral:rRNA from 1 species